GAUUGCGAUCAUACCAGCACUAAUGCACCGGAUCCCAUCAGAACUCCGCUGUUAAGCGUGCUUGGGCGAGAGUAGUACUAGGAUGGGUGACCCCCUGGGAAGUCCUCGUGUUGCAACCCC
rnacentral:rRNA from 1 species